UACGUAGGUGGCAAGCGUUGUCCGGAUUUAUUGGGCGUAAAGCGAGCGCAGGCGGAAAGAUAAGUCUGAUGUGAAAGCCCCCGGCUUAACCGAGGAAUUGCAUCGGAAACUGUGUUUCUUGAGUGCAGAAGAGGAGAGUGGAACUCCAUGUGUAGCGGUGGAAUGCGUAGAUAUCACACAGAACACCGAUUGCGAAGGCAUCUCACGAAUCCGCGAUUGACGCUGAUGCACGAAAGCGUGGGUAUCAAACAGG
rnacentral:rRNA from 1 species